rnacentral:rRNA from 1 species
AUUGAACGCUGGCGGCAGGCUUAUCACAUGCAAGUCGAGCGGAGAUGAGGUGCUUGCACCUUAUCUUAGCGGCGGACGGGUGAGUAAUGCUUAGGAAUCUGCCUAUUAGUGGGGGACAACAUUCCGAAAGGAAUGCUAAUACCGCAUACGUCCUACGGGAGAAAGCAGGGGAUCUUCGGACCUUGUGCUAAUAGAUGAGCCUAAGUCGGAUUAGCUAGUUGGUGGGUAAAGGCCUACCAAGGCGACGAUCUGUAGCGGGUCUGAGAGGAUGAUCCGCCACACUGGGACUGAGACACGGCCCAGACUCCUACGGGAGGCAGCAGUGGGGAAUAUUGGACAAUGGGGGGAACCCUGAUCCAGCCAUGCCGCGUGUGUGAAGAAGGCCUUAUGGUUGUAAAGCACUUUAAGCGAGGAGGAGGCUACUGAGACUAAUACUCUUGGAUAGUGGACGUUACUCGCAGAAUAAGCACCGGCUAACUCUGUGCCAGCCGCCGCCGUAACAC